rnacentral:rRNA from 1 species
CCUACGGGUGGCUGCAGUGAGGAAUAUUGGGCAAUGGGCGCAAGCCUGAACCAGCCAAGUAGCGUGAAGGAUGAAGGCCCGAUGGGUGGUAAACUUCUUUUAUAGGGGAAUAAAAUGUUCCACGUGUGGGUUUUUGUAUGGACCAUAUGAAUAAGGAUCGGCUAACUCCGUGCCAGCAGCCGCGGUAAGACGGCGGGGCCGAGCGUUGUCCGGAUUACUUGGGUUAAAAGGGUGCGUAGGCGGGAGGUUAAGGCAGCGGUCAAAUGUCGUUGCUGAACACCGGCCUGCCGUUGAAACUGGUCUUCUUGAGUGAGCGAGAAGUAUGCGGAAUUCGUGGUGUAGCGGUGAAAUGCAUAGAUAUCACGCAGAACUCCGAUUGCGAAGGCAGCAUACCGGCGCUCAACUGACGCUGAGGCACGAAAGCGUGGGGAUCGAACAGGAUUAGAUACCCUAGUAGUC